AGAGUUUGAUCAUGGCUCAGAUUGAACGCUGGCGGCAUGCCUUACACAUGCAAGUCGAACGGCAGCGCGGUUGGGGUAACCUGACUGGCGGCGAGUGGCGAACGGGUGAGUAAAAUAUCGGAACGUACCUUGUAGUGGGGGACAACUCGUCGAAAGAUGAGCUAAUACCGCAUACGACCUGAGGGUGAAAGUGGGGGAUCGCAAGACCUCACGCUACAGGAGCGGCCGAUAACUGAUUAGCUUGUUGGGGAGGUAAAGGCUCACCAAGGCGAUGAUCAGUAGCUGGUCUGAGAGGACGACCAGCCACACUGGAACUGAGACACGGUCCAGACUCCUACGGGAGGCAGCAGUGGGGAAUUUUGGACAAUGGGGGCAACCCUGAUCCAGCAAUGGCCGCGUGAGUGAAGAAGGCCUUCGGGUUGUAAAGCUCUUUUGUUGGGGAAGAAAAGGUGAUUAAUAAAACGGAUCACUGAUGACGGUACCCAAAGAAUAAGCACCGGCUAACUACGUGCCAGCAGCCGCGGUAAUACGUAGGGUGCGAGCGUUAAUCGGAAUUACUGGGCGUAAAGGGUGCGCAGGCGGUUGAUUAAGUCAGAUGUGAAAUCCCCGGGCUUAACCUGGGAAUGGCAUUUGAGACUGGUCGGCUAGAGUGUGUCAGAGGGGAGUAGAAUUCCACGUGUAGCAGUGAAAUGCGUAGAGAUGUGGAGGAAUACCGAUGGCGAAGGCAGCCCCCUGGGAUAACACUGACGCUCAGGCACGAAAGCGUGGGGAGCAAACAGGAUUAGAUACCCUGGUAGUCCACGCCCUAAACGAUGUCAACUAGUUGUCGGAUCUAACAGGAUUUGGUAACGCAGCUAACGCGGGAAGUUGACCGCCUGGGGAGUACGGUCGCAAGAUUAAAACUCAAAGGAAUUGACGGGGACCCGCACAAGCGGUGGAUGAUGUGGAUUAAUUCGAUGCAACGCGAAAAACCUUACCUACCCUUGACAUGGAUGGAAUUCUGCAGAGAUGUGGAAGUGCCCGAAAGGGAACCAUCGCACAGGUGCUGCAUGGCUGUCGUCAGCUCGUGUCGUGAGAUGUUGGGUUAAGUCCCGCAACGAGCGCAACCCUUGUCCGUCAUUGCCAUCAUUUAGUUGGGCACUUAACGGAGACUGCCGGUGACAAACCGGAGGAAGGUGGGGAUGACGUCAAGUCCUCAUGGCCCUUAUGGGUAGGGCUUCACACGUCAUACAAUGGUGCAUACAGAGGGUUGCGAAGCCGCGAGGCGGAGCUAAUCCCAGAAAGUGCAUCGUAGUCCGGAUUGAAGUCUGCAACUCGACUUCAUGAAGUUGGAAUCGCUAGUAAUCGCGGAUCAGCAUGCCGCGGUGAAUACGUUCCCGGGUCUUGUACACACCGCCCGUCACACCAUGGGAGCGGGUUUCACCAGAAGCAGGUAGCUUAACUGUGCAAACAGGGGGCACUUACCACGGUGGGAUUCGUGACUGGGGUGAAGUCGUAACAAGGUAGCCGUAUCGGAAGGUGCGGUUGGAUCACCUCCUU
rnacentral:rRNA from 1 species